ensembl:lncRNA
GACUGAACUCCAAAUACUGCUCAGCAGCCUCCAGCUGACAGGCUAUUUUUUGCCAUGGUUGACUAAAUAUGGUCAGGGAGGAAAGAGCACGAGCAGGGGCCGCUCGCCCGGUGGUGCGUGUUUCGGAUGCUUCGCUGGGUAUAUAAGCACUGGAAAGGUGGACCCGCUUCCUGACCAGCGCUUGCCCCCCUCGGUCUCCCCCCUGGGUGCGUGUGUGCGUACCCCUCCCGGCGGCUGACCCCAACCCAGGGCUGACCCUUGGGAAGGAGGGGAUCUAGAAAGGGGACAGCCCCAUUUCGCACCCAGAGAUUGGCUAUAAGGAGAAGGCUGACGGCUGCAGCAUGAAGCGCAUUAUUACCUUGUGAUUCCAUGACCCUCCUCUAUGCAUCCCUAACUCUCGAAAGCUGAUUCAGCUUUCAGCUAGUGCUCUGGUGAGUCCUCUGCUGCAACAGAAGCUCCUAACUGCAAAGUUCCUCAUCACAGAACUCCAUGAAAAUGCCUCUCAGCCUCCAGGCAGAGCGGGUGCCUGUGUUCAGCAUGGAGGGACGCGGCUGUCACCGUGCCAGGUGUGACGCGGGGCUGCAUCAGAUCGAUGGCACGGCCGCAGGAGAGCUCACUAGUGAUGCCAGGUUUAUUUUGGAAGCUAAAACAAUGUAAAAUCAACACGGCACGCACUAAACGGAUGAAAACCCCACUGAUAUGUUUAAAUGUACGGCUGCGUGCAGACACUCAUCACAAGUGGCUGUGUUUCAGUUCAUCACUUUUAGCAAAAUGGUAGAAAAUCAAAACUAAUUACAAUCAAAGUUCGCUGAUGAGUUCGAUUUGGAUCAUGGUGGGGCUGAGGAUCAGCCUUCUCCUGAGUCAGAUUGAAGAAAAAACCACCCAGUUCAACACAUGCACAUACAAAGCCACACUUGGGAACUGGAAUUUCAUGGCAUUCAGGGGGAGGAGGGAUCCUAUAGCACAGCGCUGGAAGCUCAAACAAAUAGCAGAGUGGAAUACCUCUGGUGUAGCAUCUGCUGGGACCCUGCAGCUAUUUCUGGUGUCUGCAGCUCAAGAAGGAUGUUGAUGAAUGGGAGAGGGCUCCGAGGAGGCACACAAGAAUGACGGAAGCAUUGCAAGACAUGCCUUAUAGUGACAGAUUCAAGGACCCCAGUGCGCUUAGCUUAACAAAGAGGAGGUUAAGGGAUGGCUUAAUGACAAUCCAGAUGUGCUCAGACAGACAGAAAUGGAAAGCUCUUCAAUCGAGCAGACAGAGCAAUAAAAAGAGCCGGUAACUGCAAGCUGACACUGCAAAAUUCAUGCUGGGACAGGUGAACUUCUUAAACGGACAGAACCAACACCAGAACCACUUCCUAAGAAGCAGUUUCACCAUCUUUCACCAUUUCAAAUUCAUAUGGAUUUGUUUUUGUUUUGUUUUUAUGUAUAUCUCAGAUCCACCAAAGAUCACUCUUUAAAUGAACACUCAGAGACCCACACGGCAUGAACGGGAUUCUCCUCCCCUGAUUUCUUGAUGGCCUUAAUUAUGAGUAUUUAAGACAUCAUCCCUGAGCACUGAGUGGGACGACCCCCUCCUUUUGGAUCGUGGUCAGCCUCAGUGGUGACUCUCAUGGGCACCUCAGCUCUGCCAGAGGAAUGGCUCUGUGGUUCAGAAGCUGCUGGAAUUUCUCCUUUCAUGGAAGUUCCUCACAAAAGCCUUUGGUGCAGACGACUCUUGGGCAUCUCCAGAACUACCCUUUGGCUUCUCCUGGGGGCUGUCUUGUAAGCCCCAGUGACAUCUUUCAGUGCAGCUGGGGACAAACAGGUAUAUUUUAUUAAUACUAUUAUUAUUAAUGUAAAAUUAAUUUGGGCACUAAGAUGUUAUUUCUGGGUUUUCAGGCUCUGAAAAUAGCAUGAGGGGAGAAUUUUCCUUCCAAAGAAAUACUGUGAUGAGUGAAAGAGGUCAAAUAAGAACUGAUAUCCAAAAGCAAGAAAAUAAAAAUUGUUUUAUAACCAAUUUAUAUAAAAGGGACUUUAUCUUCUCGUAAUGUCUUUACCUUUAAAAGCAGGCCUUUACCUUAUAUAAAGGAUAUAAAAGAGAUAUAAUUUGUUAUCUUAACCUGCAAUGAGAUCAGCAAAGAUUUUAAGCCCCUCCACAGCCUACUCACUGUUCCACUGUAGUUCAUUAAUACCCAAACUCGUCCCAAUGUACGUGUAGGGCCUCACCCCUGCAGCUUGGAGGCUCUGCCUCAUCCCCCUGCUGACAUCACAGAGCAAAUGUGCAAGAGUCCUCUGCUCUUGAAUCCAUUGAAUCCAGCCCUGUGUUGGCCAGCCAGCACGACUGCCAUCGAUUUCAGGUUUGGGUCCAGGAACUGUGCAGAUGCUUUUGAAACUGGACAACAACUCAGCGUUUAUAUUUUAUCUGAAGAAGCCUGAACCAGCAGAAAUGGUUUUAAAGCUAGGGCAACAUCAUUACCAUAGAGAUAAACAUUACUUUAAUGUGGUUCACCAUAACAACAGACCAUUUAUUAAAACACUUCACCAUUUAAUUUAUCCAGCGUUUUAUACUGAAGAGUAUUUUCAUUAGGAUUCCACUGCAAAACUGGAGAAGGCAUUAAAUCAUUUAAUAUACUGACAGCUCACUUAAUUUAUUUAAGCAGGGGACUCUAAUUUAAAAAAGCAGACCUUACACAGUGCCCUAUCUUUUCAGUCCUGGCAUGCAAGGUCCUAUUAAUUUCAGGGUAGGGUGUUACAUUAAAUCAACUUGAGAUCCCACCAUGUGCUUUCCUUUGGUCAGCAGCCCCCUACAUUGCUGCACCUGCCAGAGCUGCCUGCAGGAACCUCUCUUGAUGCACACCAGCCUUGCUCCAUGCCUCUUGCUGCUACUAAUGCCCGCGAGCAUCUCACCUUUUGCAUCCCAUGGUUGAAGGAUCAGCAGGGAACCAGGAAGCCCUGAUGUUCUUGGUGAAGUCUUCCAUUUAACUCCUGUUAACUGGGAUUUAGAAAUGCCUCUUGGCUUUGGAGCACUUGGUGAAGGCUGGGAGAAUCACUGUGACUUACUCCUAUCUCAGUUUGCACUGAAUUAGCAAGAAACGUGCAAUUAUCAUAGAGUCAUGGAACGUUUUGAGUUGGAAGGGAUCAGUCCUUGUGGCACACUACUUUUGUUCCCACAUUUGUCAUAAUAAAUGGAGCAGAAUAUUGUUACCUGUGCCAAAGCCCUGGGUGAGUCUGGGCUCUCUGAUGGCCGCUGGUUUCACUGCUGCCCAAGACUGGUAUUGAAGCAGACCCUCGGAAACAACAGCACAUUGUCAAUAGCAUGUGGGACAUUAUUAAUAAACACUAGGGAGCUUGAUAUGAUCUGGCAAAAGCAGCACAAUGAAAACAGGUACCAAAAGAAGGAUGGAGAGAAAGGGAAGUGAUCUGAACAGGGUGUUUAAUGACUCACCGGGCUGCGAAGCGCAGUGGAGAGCAAGGGUGGAAUAGAAAACAUUUUAAUGAAUUCAGCAUGCGCACCCUCUGAAGGCUCAGCUCCCCAUUCCCCAGCAAUAUUUGACCCACCCGAAGAUACUGAUCACACCGAAAUAAUAACCAGUAAGUAAUAAUAAUAGUAAUAAUAGGAAGAGCAAGACCCUCAUCUCCAAUUCAUAUUUAUAAUCCAGCAAAUAUCUCACCUAAAUCCGGAAGAUUUAUGGGUUUGCAUCUAUAAUUAAUAUCCCUCCUUAAGCAAGAAAGGGUAUAUUUUCAUAAAAAUAAAUCUGAUGCUCUAGACUGGAUUUGGAAAACUAAUAUUUAAAUCCCCAGCAAGAGAUGGUUAUUGAUCGCAUAUAUGUGUCUACAACAGAGACACGCCGUGCACAUAUAGACAGCAAGAAAAAUGCAUAUUUAUGUUUAGAAUAAAUAGAUAAAGUUUCUAUUUUAAAUGCAAUAGAUGAAACUUAAGCAGGAAAGAGGAGGAAGAUGGGCAGCUCCAAACUGCCCGUUUCCCAAAGAUUCAAUUUGCAUUAGGCCUGCUGCUAACGGCAGGGCUGCAGUGGGCACCAAGACGCAUAAAGGGCCUCGGGACAAAGCAAUCGAUCUUGUUUUAGUUUUAUGAGGAAAAUAAACAGUCAGGCUGAUAUAACAGCAGGAGGGUCAAGCAGAGGCAGGGCUAAUGAAGUGACUCACAGGAGCUCAAAAUUAAAACAGUCUUCCUGUUCUCCAUCCUCCCUUGUAGGGGACACCUGCAUCUCCCCUAAAUCCCAUGGGUGAGCAACAGCAGAGAACCUGCUGAGCUCGGAGCUUGUUCAAUGCCUCAGCAUCCCCUGAGCAAUGGGAAAGGCCUGGCCAAGGCAAGCUCUGCCUCAGCUCAACAGGACCAUGCAGGCAGCUGUCUAAGUUGUACCAGGGAAGGAUAAGAUUGGAUAUUAGGAAAAAUUUCUUUCCAGAAAGAACAGUGAUGCAGAGACACAGCUGCCCAGGGAGGUGGUGGAGUCACUGUCCCUGGAGGUGUUCUGGAAGUGUGGAGAUGUGGCACUGAGGGACGUGGGCAGUGGGCACUGUGGGAUGGGGUGGGGUUGGACUUGGGGAUCUCAGAGGUCUCUUCCAAUGUUAAUGGUGCUAUGACUCCAUAAUUCUAUGAUUUAGGGGUCACCUCACUUCCUGCACAGUAUCUACAUCCAAAUUUCAUUUUUUUUUUCAUUCUUUUUACCUCCUCAGGUUUCUUUUCACUUCCCAGAACUGCAGCUAGCAGAGCGGGAAUGUGCCAGGUGAGCAGUUGAAGCACAGCUAGAAAAGGAUUGCUCCUCUGGUGCAAGCAGGGAUUUAGCUGAAAAAUACUGAGUUACUGGAAGUCUAAAAGUAGGCACUGUUCCAAGGUCAGGAGACUGAGCGUCACCUCACUCAGUGGUGCACUUUCCAUCAGAGGUAAAGCACUUCUGCUGUCCUGGAUCCAAAGUAAAGCCCAGACACUUGUAUUUAUGUUGUUCUAAGCUGUAUAACAACCCUAUUUAACAGAGAUUUUAAAUAUUCAUGGUUAAAUACUAUGAAUCAAAAAAAAAAAUCCCUUAUGCAGGCAGUUGUUGAAGGAGUUGGUGAGGGACUGUGUGCCAACAUGAGCACGCUGCUCAGAGCUCAUGGCAUCAGAGUGAACACAGAGGGAGCUUCUUUCCCCCAAAUGAUAGGCUAUGAGAAGUGCUAUGGCACUGGUAGAAGGAAGGAGAGAAAUGCCAUAGAGGAUGUGAGUGCCUUGCCCCUGCUCUAACCUGCAGCCAUGAGAUAUGGAAUAUAUCUAGGAUCACAUCUCUGGAAGGUUAAAUGCAGACAACGCAAGGGCUCCAAAAGCUGCAGGCAGCAUGGGGCAUUAGCCAAGGCACAGCUUUGCUGCAACCUCGUUUUCAUGAUUUAACAUUACUGCUGUAAAUAAUUGAUACUAAUGUAAGUGAGAUAAGAGACAGACUGUCUGUGGGCCAGGAGGAAGUGGAUCCUGGUGACAUCCACCCAAAAAUGUGCUUGCAGAUUUGGCUUGAGUGAAAGCGCUGAAAAGCCAAACACCCAAUCUGAGAGGCAGGGAAGGGAAGAGGGAUAGGAAAGGCAAGCUAGAUCAACUCAUAGGACUCCCAUUUUUCAAAAGAAAACUCCCUGUAUUAGUUCCUUCAACAAGAGAACAUCAGCAUCACCUAUCAUUGGUUAGCUUGCCAAGGUUUGCUCUUGCACUAGUCCUUAGGACAUGCUCAUGCACUGUCAGAGGGUGGGAACCUGGGCGGGUAUGGACAUGGUUUAAGGAACCAGUUUUGUAAGAAGGUACAAGAGCAUCCCUCCUCAUCAAGGACAUGAGAACCCCAGAGUGCUCAAUAUACUUUAUGCCUUUGGCUGUGGUUAUCUACAAAUCAGCUGAGCACCAGGAAGGAGCUAUCCAGAAUCUCAGUCUUUGGAACCAGAGAUGGAGAACUACCCAUUUGGUCCAGUGAGGACAGACAUGAGCCAGGUGAUGGAUUCAGUGCUCUGGAAACCCACCUGAGCUUGAGAUGAAUGGGCCACAACGAGGCUGGAGAUGGGGAUAUCCCUGCUGGGAACCUCCCAGGGCCAUUGGACUGCAUAAAGCUCUAAAUCCCAGAGUUGAUGCUGCCUUCGGCAUUUCCCAUCCCCUGAGCAGCCAGCAUGAUGUCAAGCCGGCUUUGAUCCUGCCUAGGACAUAGAAAAAGAGAUAACGCCAGCUGAAAAAAAAAUGAUGGAAAAUGGUGUUGAGCCACCCUUAAAGCUCUCUGCUAAACUUUCUGCUGCAUCACCACCUUCACGCAACCCCUGUGUUGCUCCCCAGCCCAAGGACCUUCUCUUACCCUCACUGUAAGGUAAGCGUGCCUAAUGGCUUUAAAUUGCAGGAGGAUGCCACAUAGGAUUGAAAGAAAUCUGCAGAGCUGAUUCCUUCAUUGUGAAUGAUUUCCUUGUAGAGGCAGCGGGUCACUCUUAGGGCAGGUAGGUUUGUCCUACGCACAUCCCAAAGGCCGUGGCUACACAUUACUCUGGUGCACAGUUAUGCAGAGCUCUGACGUUGUGUUUCUUUUUCUAAAUGCUUCUUAGCCAAGUGAUUUGAGCCAGAAAGCUGGAGGAAAAUUGCCAUUUGGAAAAUGCUUUGAAAGAGCAGCAUUCACUCAUGAGUGACAGAGCUGGAGACAGCCAGCGAGACUUUCUCAUCUCUAACAUGAUUUUAUGAUUCAGUGAAUAAUGCAUAUUAGCAUAAUGCUAACUAAAAAAAUCCAUACUCAUCAUUUACUAUUAAUUAGUUAUCAACAUUAUCCUAUUAUUAAUUAUUAACAUUUACACUAUCCAUCAGCCCCCAGCUGACUGAUAGCUUAAAAUCUAGCAUAGAGAUUGUUACAACAAUGCUACACCGCAUCCCAUAACAUACUGUGCAGUCAGCUUGUCAUAUCCCCAUCUAUAAAGCUUUUUACUAAUGCACUUUACAACAGAUCUUAUAGUACAUGGAUGAGGAAUGUGGCUGCACCCAGCAAUAAUUCCAUUAAUUAUGAAUAAAGCAUUUACAAAUGACAUCCUUAUUUAAAAACAGUGAUGAACUCAUUUUGUUUUAAUGUGGAAGUGCUGCGUAAUUUGUAAUUCUGUAAAAAGCAGUGCUGGCAGCAUGGGACAGGGAGAGGGGCCCAGAGCUCAUCUUUACAUCAUAAAGGGAAAAAAAAAAAAACCAUAAAAAGAACAGAAGGAAAUUAUUGACCAACAACAAAACGCUGGGAUAAAGCUGACCAAACCCCAACCUGAUGGUUGGAAGGGAUUUGUUAAGGUGCCACGAAGAGCUGGAAGGCAUUAUGCAGUGACCUUGCAUUGUGACUGUGUCAAUAAAACUCUCCCCGCGUUACCAGCAAGGCUGUUUCCAUGCUUUCACUUGCGAUGUUUUCAGCUGGCUGGCAGCUCCCCAACACUCGUUAGCUGCAUAGGGUUUGUCUUUGCAGCAUCUCGGUACUGUUUGGUCCUAAAGGCUUCCUGAGAUGGCAGAAUAUUUAUUGCAUCCCAUAUUUCACAGGGGAUACUUACGUCAAGAGGCUAUAAAUACGUUACUCUUCCGAGUUUACAUAAGGGAUACAAAGUCAGUAGCCAAGUUUACAGAUCAGGCUCUGUUAGCAUGGGGUCUGUUCUUCCUCAUAUCCAUCUCCAUUGUUUGAAAUCAUUUGCCAGAUUAAUGCUGGGAGAGAUUUUUGACUCACUGGUCGCUCCUGAACGCAGCAGUCGUGUUCAGGUUACUCCGUGUACUACACAAGCCUGCUUCAUUUAGCCUUGCAUCCUUUUUGGUAUUAAAGCCAUGAAUAUUGAUGCUGGCUGUAGUUUUAAAGUGAGAGCCGUGAUCCAAGAGCUCCUUAUCCCAAGGUUCACACAUCUAAAUGCGUGCCCACUGGGGAUGCCAAAACCCUGCAAACCCCUUCCAUGCUCUCUUUCAGCGCCUCAUUCUGAUGCUCACGAGUGACCCUCACACAGUACAACAUACCACACCUGCAGAGACCUUUCCCCAGAUUCCCAAGCCAAUAAAUGGUAAAAACUGAAUAUACGGUGGUUAUAGUCAGCACUGCUAAGGGGCCCUUCUGCAGCACCCCUCCCAGCCCAAGGAAGGGCAGGAAACCUCAAUCACAGCUCCCCUAAUAACACAUCUGGAUGUUGGUGGCCCUGCCUGUGGCAGGGGGUUGGAACUUGAUGAUCCUUGGGGUCCCUUCCAACCCAAGCCGUUCUAUGAUUCUAUGAUUCCCAGCACUUCUCCAGACCAUGAGCACGUUGGUGUUCAACGGUAGGAGUUAUUUAUUGAGGCUUUGGCUGUUUGCAGCAGCGGCUGGGGAGAAGUUCUGCAGUUAUCAAAAACCUAUUUCCUGCAGCGUCACAAAUAAACCAGCAGCCCCCCUCCGAAAAGCCGAGCGCAACAUUUACAUUUUAAUCUCCCGACACACUUUGCUUUCUGACAAACAGGGUUUUUCAGUGCAUGUGUUACAGUGGAGAUGCAGGAGAAAGCCUCACAGCCUGGGAGGGAUCGUGGGUGGCUUUGUGAGCAAAGGCUGUGACCUUCCAGGCCAGAAAGCAUUUUUACCACAAAAACCAGUGGUGCACCGGCAUCUGGCACUGCAUGAUGCCAUGCAUGUGUAAAACAGGGCUGGGCAGGACAAGCAGGCAGCCCUGUGCUGCUACCCAUCCUGCAGUCACCCCUGGCACUCUCAUCUCACUGUCUGCUUGCAUCCCUGCCUGCAGGACAAUUGGUGCAGAGCAGAGAUGCUCUUUGCACCCCAGCUGCCCGGUUUGCUGUCUGGUGAUGAGAGCAUCUCCUUCCCUGCUUAAUGCUGGAGCUGAGAUCCUGUGCUGCCUCCAUAGAACUGCUGCAGCAGGAUAUGAAUUAUGGAUGCAAUGAAAAAUCCCAGCGCAUUGCACAGAGGGAAUAUGCAAAGUGCAAAGCAAUCACCUCUGCACGAUGCACGAGCAUUGCCACACACUGCCAUUGGAUGCCCAAAAACUGUACCCCACCAUGACCUGCACCUCCCUCAUCCCGGAAAGGCACCGGGAUCCCCUCCUCCUGAGCACUCCAGGGCUGGAAAUGAGGACACCCAUCAUGUGAAAAACACCUCUUUACAUACUGUGGAGGCACUCAGGGCACAGGAGGGGGCCUCACUGCAUUCACAGGCAUCCAGGGGAUGGGUGUCUGCUCUCUAUGGGUAAGGGCUUACCCUCGGGAGCUCUGGCAGAGCUUUGCCUGGAGCCAAAGAGCCCGCAUAUGUUGUUUGCAUCCUCCUCCUGUCAGAGCCCACUGCCGCUGGAGCAGAGAAGUGUAGGACAGUUCUCCACAGACUAAUUUGGGGGGGCUGUAGUGUGCGGAAGCUCUCCUCACAACUUCUCUUUCAGAAGGCUUUUCCUUUUUAUUUCUUUUAAUUUUCAAAUGCUCCGAUUCCUCCCCUUGAAGCACAGCUCGUUGCCUCCGUGCACCAUCUCAUAGCACACUGCAAAAGCGUUGCCACUUUCCAGAGCCAUUUCUGAGCAUGCAAUAUCAACAUCUGUGCUAAAAGCAAGCCAAAAUUUUUCCCCGAAGCGAUAUUUUGCUUGGCAUUAUUGUUCCUUUUUCUUUUUAAUGGUUUGCUUGUCACGGGGACUCCUCAGCCUUUUAUACUCAGGAAAUGCAGAAUGCUGCUCCCCUCCCUGCUGCAAGCAGGAGCCAGCGGUGAGCACAGCAUGCAGCUCCCAUCCAUCCCACGGUGCCAGAAGGUUGGGGAAAUGCCUUGGGUCACUUAGGGCCCCAAUUAAUUACAACAGCCCCCCCAUGAAUGGCACUGUAAAUUCUUGCUCCUUGUGUUAAAAAAGUUACGAGUGUUACUUAGCGGCCACUAAAAUUAUACAGCACUGCAGCACUGUGUUUGCUGCUGUGUGCUCACUGCCUUUAAAUGCCACAGCCAGGCAUGGGAUAGAUGGGAGGCACAUGGGCAUCCCUGGAACCUGGCUGCUGGCUCUGCCCAGGCUGCAGCUGACAGUCACAGAGAAGCAAGUGCAGUGCAGAGUUCUUUCUGCCUGGGGGUAAGCACUGAGAUGCUGCUAUCUCUGGCUCAGUGUCAGCUGCAGGUAUCACUGUUCCCAGGGCAGGCUGCAGGAUGCUAUGGAGCUGGAGACUGUUUUCACUGAAUCAUUAAGGUUGGAAAAGACCUCUAAUGCCAUCACGUCCAACCCCAAUCCAUCCCACCAUGCCCACUAAUGUCCCUCUGGGUCACAUCUACCCUUUUCUUGAACACCUCCAGGGAUGGUGACCCCACCACCUCCCUGGGCAGCUCUACCAAUGCAUGACUGCUCCUUCUGAGUAGGAAUUUCUCCUGAUAUCCAGCCUGACCAGGAUCAGGUGGAGGAUGGUUGAAAAGGAAGAAGAACGACCAGUAAUAGGGCUCUAUAGCACCUCCGUCCGUAAAGAGUAUGACCAAUUUUCAGCUCUCAGAAGCUAAAGCAGGACUGAUGUAUAAAGUCUACUUUGGUUUCUCCCUGGUUUAUGUCUCUGACACCUUGCAAAGUCUUCGGGAUGUCAGGACAUAGCUCUGCCCUUCUGUACAGGUUUCCUUGGAGGAUUUCACACGGUGUUGGUGCAGGCAGCAGUAGCAAUGUCUGACAGCACUCCCACGGCAGCUGCAGGGCAGUGAGCAGCAGUACAGUUCUGCCUUCUCUGCUGGCAAUCUUCAGCUUUCUGGGCAAUUAUCUUCUCCCCCAUCAUCCUGCCCAGCACACAGCUGGUUGGCAGAGCUAAUUGAUUGGUGUUUGUACAGGCUUUUGGGUUUCUCCUGUUAAGUAGGUGUUAAAUCUCAUUAUUAUUAUUAUUAUCUUCUGUCAUAACCACAGUGAUGAACGUCCCCCUGUGCACGUACUUAAACUACCCAAUGUGGGCUGCCUUGUUCUUAAUUUUGAUUAUUUUAAGAAGUCUUUUAGCACAUCAAAUUGCCUUGGUGGAUAAAGAUUUAUAGCAAAGCCUUGGGAGCUGUCAGAGUAAUGUUUUUCCAGCAGCAAAAACUUAACCUCCUCUUAGAUCUCUUUCCUGCUUUGUCCCACACUUCUCCAUGUGAUGAAGGGAUGCUGAGGCGUUGCUGGGUGCAGCUCUUGGGAUGAAGGAAAUGUGCUGUCAGUCCUUUUAUUUCUGAUCCCAUUUGAGUGUGUCACUCAGCUGUCUCAAAUCAAAGAGGGUGAGAAGGUGCCUUAAACUGCUGUGAUUGGAAACUUCAAACUCACCGUGUCUUCUAGACGCUAAGUAAAUGGCUGGUGGGCUCUUGUAAAUCACAGCAUUUCUAAAUAUACCAGAGAGUCUCUCUGCCAAGAUGCUGAUGAACACUGCGUCUGUUCCUAUUGACUUCUUUUCCCCCUUCAGAUUCCUUUUGCUUUGAAUAAUUUCAAAUCAUAACGCAAAAAAAAAAUCCUGGACUCUUAGCGAGACUCAGUGAUGCUGUGAUUAAUGAAAACGUAAUGAGAGCUACCAUGCAGCCAUUACAAACCAGUUAGCUAAUUAGUCUAAUCACAGAGGUGGAAAUAAUUAAAAGACCAUAAAGUAGAGGUAGCCUAAUAACAGCGUUUUCCUCUGACCCAGAAGUGAAGAGAGAAGGAUGCUCUGUUCUAUCUGGUUUACUGGGUCAGCGCCAGGAGGAGUGGGGAGUGAAGGGCCCAGAAGAACUGCAGUGCCUGGGCUGGAUCAGACAGGGACAACAGAGCAGCCUUACACCAUUCUGCCCUUACACCACUCUGCCCUUACACCAGACUGCAGCUGAGUCCUCAACUGCUUCAGAUGGGUACUUGUAAGGUAGGACCGGUCUGCACUGGAGAAGCACACCCUGAAACCCUGCCCUACUUCUGCAAGGGUCUUCCAGCCCGGGCUGCUAAUGAGAGGCACAGGGCAAUGUGCAGAGCUGGAUUUCACCCCGUAAUUAGCAGUGACCUACCUCUCACUGCUGGAUGGAAUGGCUCCGUUUGAUGGGCUGUAAAAAAUCCUAACUGGUAAUUUUCCAGUUGGGAUGGGUCAUGGUUAUGGCCAUCUCCAUUGGCUCUUAUCAUUUCCGCCAGGGGUUUGUGUGCAUCCCAUUUGACCCGAUUAUAAUGAGCAAAGAAGAACAAAGGAGCUGCAGACACACAAUCAACGAUCAUGUGCUGAAGCUGAUGAAUACGCCAAGUCUGCUAAGUGGCUCCUCAUCAGCUAUUCACGUGCUGGGAGCCAUCUUUAUUUGCUCUUCGUCUGUAGGUGAAUCUAUUUUUGUAGCUCUGUUUUGGGGGUGGGAGGGUGGAUGGAGGCAACCACCGCUGUCAGGUAAAGACUACGCUUUCCUGAAAAAUCAAACGGUGACACCAAGUUGGCAGUGACCUGAAAAGAAGAAACGAUGCCAUGUCAUUUAGAGAAGGAAGAAAUAAUAUUCCCCAGUGACACCCCUGGUGGGAGGCAGAACUUUACCUCCCUGCAUCUCAAAUGAAGCAUCACAGCAGCAGCACUAACUGUGCUUCCGUGUUUCCAGAGUGACUUUUCAUUAACCUUAUUUUAUUUGCUGUAGCUGCAAACAUGCUUUCAAGGGUAGGAGCAGGGGCUGUCCUGCUGGGAGGAUUUGCAGGAUGAAAUGCAAGCCCAGGACAUCCCACCUGGAUCCUCUAGCUGUGACAUUGCUGCAGAAGGAGGGAUGUGUCUGGGGGUCUGUGCUGCUGCAUGCCAAUGACUGCCCAAUUUCUGCCCUUCCAGCACCUCUUCUUAUUCAAUCUGAACGUGUGGGUGAGCAGCACACCCAUCCCAGGGCUCUGUUCCAGCUGAAGCUGUUUCCUGCUGCAGGCUGUGUGGGUUCAGCAGCACGCUGCUCCAGGAAAGCAGUUCUGUACAAGCAGCAACACACAGGCUUGCACCGCCGGCGUUUGCAAACAGCUGAUCUAGAGAGAUUGCUUUUUUUUUAUUUAUUUCUUUGUGCUUUUGACCUUAUUUGUUGAAAAUGAAACAUCAUGUAACCUUCCAGGAAAUGCCACGAAUCUUCGAUCUGACAUGAGAACAUAAAUCUCCAGUGCGUGUGCAUCAGUUCCGGUCAGGUUUUCAGGUCUUAGCUAGAUCAGAGUGCAGUGGGAGCAUCCCAUAUUGGGGCCAGCAGGACCCAAGUUCCUCACCUGUCCUGUCCUUGUAACAGCAGUCCCAUGGCAUUGGUUGUUGCCUGUGGACCAGGCUGGUUUUCCACCUGUUCUUUGUAGAAAGAAUGGGAUUUCUUGCACCUGAAUUGAAGUGUGAAAUUUUAAGGGGACGGGUGCAGCUCCUCCCUCCCAGCUCCGGCUGAAAGCAAGCACUGCCUCACAGCUCUGAGCAGCCCCCACUCCAACAGCCAUCUCGGGGAGCAGAAGGUUCUCGUGCUGUUGGGAACUGAGGCUCUGCAGCCCCGACCACACAGAGAGGACGGGAAACCGCAAUGCCUGCGGUUUCCCGUCCGGUCCAUGCAAGCUGUUCAGUGCACGGGGCCUGAAUGGCAGUGAGGGUUAUUUGAAGGUCAGAAGUUGUUUGUGUGAAGAUGCAGCCCCGCUGCACGGCUUUUUGGCACCUGCUCAGUGACAGUACUGUUUUGCUGGAGCCGUGCAUGCCUCCAUCCCAAGCUGCCAGUGUUCUGUGGGGACACAUCCAGAGGUGUGCAGGGCUUUCCUUUGUGCCUUAUACCCAGAGCAGGGAAGCCCUACACCCCACCAGGCCCAGGGAACAACUCAGAGGUCUCUUUGCAUUUUAAUGCCUUUUCCUCUCUAUUGAGGUCUGUGACAUUCCUACAGGUUAACAGAACCCACAGUGAGAACAGUACCAUGCGCCCACCCCCCACAUACCUCUCCCUGCUAAAAGCAACAGAAACCUGCAUUUUUAUUCGCUUAUUUUAAUAGGACGACCUUUCCUUGUUUCUCCACUAGAUGGGAGAGUGAGACUGGUCUAACAAUGUGCCCGUCUUUAUCCUGACAGGAAUACAGGGGGGAGACGAGGAAUGGGGAAUGCACUCAAGUCAGUUCUCGGGUGUGAGGACACCUCCUGCACUUUCUCUGCCCUUGGAAAUGGUGUGGAUAACCCCAAAAAUGCAUGCUGAGCCGUGUUAUGAGCUAACCCCAAAAGUGCACGGCUGUGGAGACCGGUGCUUGCUGGGGGAUUCCCUCACUGCCAACUCCUCUGCCCUCAUGCGAGGAGGAAUCAGGUACACAAAGAUUAGAUCACAGAAUGACAGGGUCAUUUUGGUUGGAAAAGAGCUCCAAGAUCCCCGAAUCCAACCUCAGCCCACCCCACUGUGCCCACUGCUCACAUCCCUCAGUGCCACAUCUCCACAGCUCUGGGACACCUGCAGGGACGGUGACCCCACUUCCCCCUGUGCAGCUGUGCCACUGCAUCUUUCAGAGAACGUAUUUUUCCUAAUAUCCAACCUGAAUCUCCCCGGUGCAACUGAAGAUGUAUUCUUGGGGUGAGACACUUCGUGGCCAUCCACAUCCUGGAGAAUCAGUUGACUCCCCCGUCCCCAGCAUUGCUUUGGGAGAAAAAGAAUCACACCCCAUUUUCACCUCCUUCUCUCCAAUGCCUUUCUCGUGCAGGAUCAUUGCAUCAUAAUGCUCACGGCUGUAACGCUUCUUUCCGCAAAGAUUAAAAAUGUGCUGAUGCAACAGCUGCACUUGCAGGAGGGGAAUUUGUGGCCCCGUCUGACACCGGCAGCUGCACACAGAGGAUGCCCCGUGGCACUCAUGCUUUGCUGAAUUUACUUUCACUGCAGCGCUUCCCAUCCCCUGAGGCAUUGCCUGAGCUUUCACUGGAACUGAGUGCGUUGGGGAAUUAAACAGCAGCAGAAACACUGUCUCAACCAAACCAAAAAACUGCCCCAUUUGCCUAUAUUUUGUUAUUGAGAGGUUUGGGGUUUUUAAGACUAAGCAUGACUUCUUCCUUUUGGGAUGUCACGGGUCCUGGAAGAAAACUUCUCACAGCCAAUUUUUCUGACUGCGACAGAAUAGGCAAAUACUGCAGCUCUGGGGGGUUUUGCUGUCUGCCCAACCUCCUUAAUUUGCAAUCUUUGUAAAGAAGUGACUCAACUGAUUUGUUUGACGCUGGGUACACUUGUGCCCUUCAAUGAAGUAAUCCUGACAUCCCUUUGUAACUGUGCCCUCGUUGUCUUCUUUGGGGUUUCCCAACUGCCAUUACUCAGCCAGAGAGAGGUAACAGCCUCUUUGGAAGAGGAAGUUGGGUUUCACUAGAUGUAAUUCUUCUGUUUUCCAUAAGCAAGUCACCCCACCCUAUGUGGGCAACAACACUGUAUCACUCAGCACAGAGCCGUGUCCCACCCAGGCACCGCCAUGAGAGCGAUCGGUUUUCCCAAGAAGGGAGGAGACUUCUUUCAUUGGCUGUAAUUACAGAUGGAAAAAUGCUGCGUAGAAGCAACACAGUGGUAGAAAAUGCAGCUCUGGCAGAGGCAGGGCAUGCUCAGUGGGGCAGCAUCUGGCUGCCAGGUAGGGGCAGUGCAGGGACACAGGGAUGGGGAUGGAUGUACCGUGGGAUGUCUCAAAGGGAUGGGGAUUUGUAUGUUUGCUUCUGCCCUUGGGCAGCAGUCUGCUUCUUCCCGUGCCCCUCAUUCACAAAGUUUUGGGUGAGAAAAUGGGAAAAUGAAAGCCCAAGUGCACAGAGCCACUGCCGUGACUCUGUUCUGCUUUUCUGUGCUCCAGCACUGCCAUCCCCUUCCUAUCAUCUCCCUUUACCACCCUGGAAGGGAAUUAAAACCAGAAAAGGCACUAACUGGGGAGAUGAGCUGUGAAGAGCCUGGUGGAGUGGUGCAGCCUUGUGAUGGGCACAUGGGACCUGCAGGACAAGGACACUGCUGGGACCCACAUCUUCCUCUGCUGACUGCAGGAGGUGCUGCAGCUUGCUGCCUUCUGACAGCACGCCAAGUGCAAAUGAGCAUCUCGUUCUUCAGGGAUGAGAUGUUGAGCUGAUUAAGUUUCUCUUUAAUUAUAAGGAGGAAAUGGCACGUGCAAGGACGGCUUCUGCUGCCAAGUUAGAGAUGCUCCUGGGUGUAUCGUGCUUUCCUUCCUGGUGCAUGGGGCUCAGCUGUAGGGUUGGGAAGGGAGAGAAAACGGCUUGGGACAUAUUCAGAGCUAUGGCUGAUGGGGCAUUCUAUGGAAUGCUCAGCAACCUGUGAUAAGUAGGGUAUAGUCCAGGGCAGGGAACUGGCAUGCUUGGCAUUUACUACACUCAUAAAUGACUCCAGCAGCAGCAGAAAGGGUACAAACUUCACCCUUGCAAAGCAUCAGCACUGAGGCCAUGGUGGGGAGCAGACGAGCAAAGUGCCAGGAAACGUGUUGCUGCAGGUUGCACCCUGAGAGUUUUGGUAGCUGGCUGUUAGCACUGCAGCAUCUGCAUCGUGAUGGUGACUAAGGGUAGUUCUGUGGACUGGAAAAAGGGGCGGAGGGGUUUCCAUUCCCCAGCGGUGCACAGAGCUCCCAGCCAAGUGCUGCCUAUGUUGGGAUGCAUGUAGGAUGUAGGAUGCUUCGUGGAUCUGGGACCUCUCCACAGGGGCACUGGGCAAAGGGUGACAGGGAGCACAGGGCACAGAUUAAUGACAAAUAGUCAAAGAUGAGCACCUGUCCCAGCACAACAGGGUCCCUGCACAGCAGAACUGUACCAUCAUAUGAUGCUUGCUUGGAUCCUGACCCACUCAGCCUCACAGGUGCUCUCAGUUACAAGAUAAGAGGCAGUCUCUCCUUUGGACCUUAAUCCUGCAAGAUCUAUAAGGAUGAACUUUGAAAUUCAAAUAGCUGGCAGGAUUUCACUUAAUCUGAGAUGGCAAAAUCACCAGCCAUGUGAUUUCUCCUUGGGGUUUACUGUGGCAGCAUUUCUCCAAAGUUCAAAGUCUGCAGACAACAUGUGACGUGCUUCGCAGCCAUACUAUAGUUUUGGUGCAACGAACAACUACAGAAAUCAAUUUCUAGAGCAAUAUUUUCUAUGCUAGUAAUCUCUGAACUAAUUACAGGAUGGGAAAAUCGAUAGCUAUCUGGAAAUCUUUCCAGUGCAGCCAACCAAGCACACUGCACAUCACGCUGGAAUAUAUUCUUCAUAUACACGUGAGGCUGAUGGCUCCUGGAUCUUAUGUGCAGACGAUGUCACUGUCACUGAGAGUCUGUACUGUGUCACACUAUAACGUUUAGCAAAACCUGCAGGGGGAAUUGGGCAGAGCAAAUAGCGCUGAGCAGCAUUCAGCGCCAGCUCUUUAAGCCAGCAACAAAAAGAGCUGGAAGUCUCGGUUGGUUUAACAGGGAUCUUUCUUUGAAAAGAUUAUGAAAUGGAGUCGUUAAAAGUUCAUGCCUGAGGUAGAAUGUUUUUUCACCAGACUUUAUUAUUUUAAAGCAUGUAAAACCUUUAGUGACUGAAAAUAACCUUUCUCUGGUCUCCCACCUGGAGAGAAGCAGGGUCAGUGGGAGGUUCAGUGGGGCAAUCUCCCUUCAAAAAUAAAUGAACAAAGAGGAGGGGUGUUGCUCUGAUGAGAAGAUCUUGCCUGGCUGUACAAACACACUGUGCUGAUCGUGGCACACGACUGCCAGCCAGAGCCCAAACCUCACAAAGGCUGUGAUGGGAUGGAAUGCGAUGGGAUGGGAUGCGAGAUGCUGCACCCCCACUCCUAACCUGUGGGGGCUCAAUGGGCUCUUCCUUGGAACGGUGGCAUUCACGCUGUCACCACACGGAGAGCAAAUAUUCCCAUCAGACACAGUGCCAAAAACCCAGCAGGUGGGUAGGAAGCAAAGCCCGCAGUGCAGUUGACUUUCCUAUGCUCCUGUUUGCACUGCAGUGCUCCGCAACACAGCAAUGAAUUCUGAGCUGUCACACAACCAUGAAAUAUUAGCUAUCAUGUUAUAUGUUUUUCUUUGAUUAUUCUCCAUAACUUUUUCCCUCCGUGAAUGGAGUUGUGGAAAAGCAGGACCAGAUGGACCCUUGCCUUGCUGGGGCAUUCCUGCAGCUCCACUGCAGUGGGACCUUCAUUUGGAGCAGAGCUCCAGAUCCAGCGUCUGCAGGAGGUAAGGUGCAGUGAGCCUCAGCACACCUCCAGAGACCAGGAUUUGUUUCCCCCCUAAAUAAAAAUACAGCAGGUUAGUUAUGCUCACAAAGCUUGGAGCUCGGAUUGACCCAUGCAAUGACCUGGAUUGUAAUUCUUGCUCUUAAUUAAUAUUUACAUUUCUGUAGGACACCCCCGGCCAGCUCAGAAGCUACACCUCUGGCACCAAGAAAGGAGAGCUGUGAGAUGCUGAUGACCCCAGUGGGGCAUCUUUCCUUUCUCCUUCCUUUCUCCUUCCCUUCCCCUUUUCUUCUCCUUAUUUUCUCCUUCCCAUCUCCUUUCCUCCUCCUUGUUUUCUCCUACCUUUCUCCAUACCAUCUCCUCCCUGUCCAGAACAUACAUGUUAACUGUUGGGUGCUCUAUGGGAUGUGUCUAUGGCUUCUGCAGUGAGCUUCAGGGAUUUUUCUCUUUCAGUGAUGCAGCUUUUGCAUUUUCCCAUGACUCUUUCCCCAGUAAUGAAUGCCGCCUUUCAUUCAAAGACAACUCAGUAGGAGUGCAAGAAAUCACUUCUCUUUCUUUCCAUGUUAGGUGGACAAGGCAGCGGUGUCUGCACAUCACCUGAUGGAAGCAACCCGGCAAGAGGGAGCUCAGCUCCUCCAGAAAUGUUUCAAGAAAUAGCGAGGGAGAAGUCACAGCUUUCCCUCUCUUGCUGUUAACACGGCACACUUUGUGCGUGCACAGCAGUGGGGCUCCUGCUGCCAUUUCCUGGCAAUGCAGAGCUGCAGCCAGCACUGCAGGGCUGGCAGGGCCAGCAGAGGCUGUGGCACAACGCGGUGAGGGCAGGACGUGCAGCACAGCAGUCACUCCACCCUCAGUGUUCCCUUGUCCCUGGCAAACCGUGGAUCAGGGCCAUCCUCAACAGGAGGUUUGCACUGAGAUUAUCGGGUUUAACAGCCGCCCAGGCAAAUGCCAUUCAGGAAUUUGUCUAAUCCCUCUUUGAACACGGUUAUGCUUUCGGGCUCCACAAUGCCCUCUGGCAACGGUUGCCGCUACUAAUAAGGAGCUGGGAAGAGAUUGCUUCCAGCCUCCUACCUGAUCCUUUCAUUUAGGGGAUCCAUUACUCUCACGAGGAUAAAUAAAGCUGGCAAAGCCCCACGGGACGGAGACCAAUGGAGACUGCUGCUUUCUGGUGUGACACCAGCAGUGUCUCACAGAAGUACAGCAACACAAAGACCGGCAAACAUCCCAGGGGAGGAUUUCAGAGGUGCAUUUUCCACUGCCAGCACUUGAAAAAUAAAGCCAUCUUUAUUGGCUAUUUUUUAUACGUUUCCUGUGAACGACUUUCUGGCACAAAUUAUAUGGAGUUAUAAUAGAACUCCAAGGAGUACCUUUCAGAAAAAAAAGAUCCAGUUCUGUACUUCCUUCCUGGAGAUUCGUUGCCUGUUCCGCAGCAGGAGACGUGAAUCAUGGAAGUAUUUAUAGCAGCAAUAUUAGGAAGUGAUCAUUAAGGCACCAGAAAGCUGUGUUAGGCAGUACGUCUUUAAAUAAACUGCUCAUGGCUGUGUUAACUCAAUCGUGUAAGUGCAUGCACACUUAACCUUAUUAAAAACGAACCUGUUCCCAGAACUGGACUUUUCCUGAUGAAUGUACCACAGUUCCCCAUCUUCCCCAGGCAGUUUUGUGGGUCUCUGAAAUAUGAGGACGGUUUCAUUUGAUUGGCAUUAAUAAGGUUUAUGUCUGCACAGAUUUAGGCCAAAGAUUGUCGUGAUCACCCCAAGUCCCACCUGACUCACAGGACUGAAUCUGAAGAGACAUCUCCCGGCAGUUUCAGUCAAUGGAGCGAUUCCAGCUCAGAGUGCGCCCUGGUGAACCAACUUCCCUCCUGCAGCACCGCAUUUGCAUUCAUUAAGCCCAGAGUUUUAAUGAUUUCAGUAGAUUGAUCGAGGAGAGCAGCCCAAGAAUAUGUGUCUGAACGCCUCCCGCAGAGGUACAAGGCAGCGUAAAUCCAUCCUGGUGUGAAAUGCAAAGUGAGCAGACAGCUCACACACACAGUCAUUGCACGGAUAUCUGCAAGUGUCAGCAUGACCCAUAAAGCCAGGGCUUUCAAUGAGCCAAAAUGAUCAGAGCUCCUCAAACACAAGGAAUAGUAACCCGUAUGGUAGUAAGGAUAUAACGAUGAUGGUGCUAGUUAAUGCCAUUGUCACCUGGAGGUGAGAGGAUCAGCAGGGCUGGCAGACUGGCUUGCUGUGCCACUGCUGGGCACCUCCCAAAGAUUUCUGUAGGACAAAGAUUUCUUUGAGGUUACCACUGUCCUUCCUUGCCAGACCCUGUUCCUCAGACACGUUAUCAAAGCCACUAUUGGCGCAAGCAAAUCCAUAGCUUUGCAUCUCCAUCACCUGAAAGGUAAAACGUAUGCAGCUGCUGUAUGAAAAAUAGCCUGGAGUUGAGCUCUGCACCUCUGAGGACAGCCUUAGCAGUGGUGGAAGGACAGGGACACACGGCCGGCCAAGCACAGCUUGGUGACGGGGCAGAGCAGGAAGUGUGGGGGGAGGUUCUCCAGCUGUGGUGCUUUUGAUGCACUGCUUCACCUUCACACAUCUGCUGUCCUUUCCAUUCUGUUUAAUUAAAAUAUUAACGGUUUGCAGCAGGGCCAGGUUCGUCAGUGAUGUGCAGCACCAGCCAAAGCAGUGCCCCAGUUUCAAUGCACAGCUUAUGAAACUAUUCAUGUUUAAUAAAUACUAACAGAGUGUGGCCACAGAGGAAACACUUCCUGUUUUUCUUGACCACAGCACAUCACAAGCAGCGGUUCUCCUACCUUUAAUGUUGCAUUAAAAGCUUAUUCAGCAGCUCCCAACUUAGCCCAUUCAGUGAAAGCAAAACCUGCCAGAAGCCCCAGCACCUGCAAUCCACUGAGCACAGUGAGGGGAGGGUGUAAAGGCAGCAGCUUCCAGCUCCAUGCAGAGCUGCUGCUUCAGAGGGUGAUGGGAGGCAGCCCCUACCUCCUGGCCUUGCCUUUCCCUUGCUCUCCUUGCUGUGUGCAGCACCAGAUGAGGCUUUCCAUUACCCAGACUGUCCCAUGCACUUCGGAUGAUGGAGAACUGAUUGUGCUUUGGAGAACUAAACACACAGUGCCUGAAUUAUUUAUCUUUAACAUGAAGAAACAGGCCAAAUUCCCAAGUGAUAUGGAAUGACCCUGAUAAUGAACAUGG